UGGGGAAUAUUGGACAAUGGGCGAAAGCCUGAUCCAGCCAUGCCGCGUGGGUGAAGAAGGCCCUAGGGUUGUAAACCCCUUUCAGCGGGGAAGAUAAUGACGGUACCCGCAGAAGAAGCCCCGGCUAACUCCGUGCCAGCAGCCGCGGUAAUACGGAGGGGGCUAGCGUUGUUCGGAAUUACUGGGCGUAAAGCGCGCGUAGGCGGACCUGCAAGUCGGGGGUGAAAGCCCGAGGCUCAACCUCGGAACUGCCUUCGAUACUGCGGUUCUCGAGUCCGGGAGAGGUGAGUGGAAUUCCUUGUGUAGAGGUGAAAUUCGUAGCUAUUAGGAAGACCACCAGUGGCGAAGGCGGCGCACUGGCCCGGUACUGACGCUGCGGCGCGACAGCGUGGGGAGCAAACAGG
rnacentral:rRNA from 1 species